rfam:Prunus persica cultivar Lovell chromosome G8, whole genome shotgun sequence.
AUACUUACCUGGACGGGGUUUUUGGGUGAUCAAGAAGGCCCAUGGCCUAGGUUAGUGACCUCCAUUGCACUUCGGAGGGGUGCUACCCUAUGGUCUCCCCAAGUGGGAGAGCCAACGUCAUAAUUUGUGUUAGUGGGGGCCUGCGUUCGCGCGGCCCCUUU